rnacentral:rRNA from 1 species
UACAGAGGGUGCGAGCGUUAAUCGGAAUUACUGGGCGUAAAGCGUGCGUAGACGGUCAAGUAAGUCGGGUGUGAAAGCCCCGGGCUCAACCUGGGAAUUGCAUUCGAGACUGCGUGGCUAGGGUGCGGAAGAGGGAAGCGGAAUUUCCGGUGUAGCGGUGGAAUGCGCAGAUAUCAGGAGGAACACCAAUAGCGAAGGCAGCUCGCUGGGACGUUACUGACACUGAGGCGCGAAAGCGUGGGGAGCGAACAGG